CUUCCGAUCUCUCGGCUCGAGAGCCGAAGAAGGUCGUGACAAGCUGCGAUAAGUUGUGGGGAGAGGCAUGAAUCUCUUGGAUCCACAAAUUGCUGAAUGGGACCUCCUGGCACAAUGUGCCAUUCCUAAAUGGAAAGGGAACCUCCUGAACUGAAGCAUCUCAGUAGGGAGAGGAAAAGAAAUCAAACGAGAUACCGCUAGUAGUGGCGAAUGAAAACGGUAUAGGACAAACCGAAUCUUCAUGAGAAAUCAUGAAGAGAUGUGGGGUAUGGAUCAUCUGUAAUCUGUCUUGCGGAAAUAGAAGUCGCCUGGAACGGCGCACCAUAGAGGGUGAAAGACCCGUAUAUGUACGCAAUAUGAUCAAGUGAUGAAUCCUGAGUAGCGUGCGUUGGAUAUCGCGCGUGAAUAUGGGAGGCAUAAACUUCCAAUCCUAAAUACUACUCGAGACCGAUAGUUGACAAGUAGCGUGAGCGAAAGCUGAAAAGUAUCCUUAGCGGGAUGUGAAAAGAACCUGAAACCAGUCGGGAACAAGCUGAAUAGGCGUGAAAGCGAAGAUAUGAGCAGCGUCUAUUCGUGCGUUUCGAAUAAUGCCCCUGGGAGUUCUGAUUAAUGGCGAGGUUAAGGAGUUGAUCUCCGAAGCCGAAGGGAAACCGAAAGGUCCGCAGCCGCUUAGGCGGUGAGGGACUGGGUGUGCUCGCCCGGAGUCAUUAGUGGGAGACCUGAAGCCUAUCGAUCUAUGCCUGGCCAGAUUGAAGCCCGAUGAAAGUUGGGUGGAGGAUCCAACCGUUGCUGAUGUGCAAAUCGCUCGGAUGAGCUGGGUAUAGGGGUGAAAGUCCAAUCGAGAUGGGCAAUAGCAGGUUCCGCGCGAGACUACUCGCAGGUAGAUCUUCGCAGAGAUAGAUUACGAUGUAGAGCACUGAUUGGGUAUUUAGGGGGAGCAAUUCCUCGGUACGCUGUCAAACUCCGAAGUUGUAAUCGUCGUAGACGCGAGGAGUGAGCCACGGUGGGUAAGCUACCGUGACGAAAGGUGAAGAAACCAGCUUAGUGUUAAGGUCCCAAAAUUACAGUUAAGUGUUAAUUACAAACGGAGUCCGUGGUCGAAGACAACUAGAAGGUGGGCUUAGAGGCAGCCAUCCUUGAAAGAGUUCGUAACAGAUCACUAGUCAAGCUUGCGGGCCCGAAAAAUGGACGGGACUAAAACUGUAUACCGAUACACUAAUCCUUCGAAAGAAGAUGAGGUAGCGCGGCGACAUGCUCGGGUAGAAGCUCGGUUUUGAGAUCGGGUGGACCGUGUAUGUAUGAGAAUCUAGGGAAGAGUAGCAGCAUAGUGCGGUGAGAAUCCGCACCACCGAAGGGGUAAGGGUUCCUCGGCAAUGUUUUUCAGCCGAGGGUUAGCCGAUCCUAAGGGCUUUCUUAAUCGAAGAGUCCGAAAGGGAAAUGCGUUAAUAUUCGUAUGCCCUUCUACAUUAAUGGUGACGGCUUGGGCUAGUUCGUACGUCUCUGUCAUGGGACGUCGAAGCGUAAUAAUCAAUUGGAGAACCGUCAUGGUGAGAAGAUUGAGAAGACGUGAGCAACGACGAAUGAGGCCUAGGUCCCAUGAAAAGCCGUAGAAGUGAUCGUACCAAGAACUGACACAGGUACCCAAGGUGAGUAGCCUAAGGUGUGACGGGCAAAGUAUCGUGAAGGAACUCGGCAAAAUAGCUCUGUAACUUCGGGAGAAGGAGUGCCAGCUUAGAGAUAAGCUGGUCGCAGUGACCAGGGGACUCCGACUGUUUAAUAAAAACAUAGGCGACUGCUAGAUCGAAAGAUUGUGUAUAGUCGCUGAAUCCUGCUCAGUGCCGGUAUCUGAAAUCGGGUUUCAACCUGACGAAGGACCGGUAAACAGCGGGGGUAACUAUGACCCUCUUAAGGUAGCGUAAUACCUUGUCGCUUAAUUGGCGACUUGCAUGAAUGGCCCAACGAGAGUCCCACUGUCUCCACGAUACGUCCGGCGAAAUUGACUUUACUGGCGCACAGUCCAGUAACCUCAACCUGCAAGCGAAGACCCCGUAGAGCUU
rnacentral:rRNA from 1 species